GCGCGCGCUGGUUAUCAGGAUUUACAUUCUGUUUGAGGGAUGCUGUUACAAAUCGAAACAAAUUUCUGUCUUUUUACGGGUGAGAUGUGGGAAUCCAGCUGUCCAUGGUUUAGGGACUCUGCAGGUGUAGAGUUCCUGGGGACACUCAAGGGGUGGUGUUGGAUUGUCCAAACAAGACGGGGCAGACUGGCAGGCGCCAGCGCCGUGACGUCACCCAUUCAUCCGAGCCUUGACGCCUGUCAGCCUGGCGCCGAGCGGGCGGUCGCUAUGGAGACCUCAAACAACAGGCUCUCAUUCCCCCAUUCACCUGCAUAGCGCGCAAACCCUGAGAACAAACUGGCUGCGGUCGCAGAUGACAUGGCAGAGGGAGAAGGGGGCAACAAUGGGAGUGCGGUGCAGGGAUUGUGGGAGAGAAUCUAGACUGGAGCCACAGUGUCUGGAGCGCCCCUCCAUUCCCCUCAUCCAGCUUUUGUUCAGCUGCAAAAGCUAUCAGCACUUCCUACUGACACCAACAAUAACUCCACACAGCUGGGCCCUUUUCAGCCUGUUUGCACCACAUCAAGGCAAUGGAAGAGAGAGAGGAGAGAGGGAAGAGGCAGAGGAGGGAAAAGAAAAGUGAAACAUAUUAGCUCCUGAUUUUAACUGACAGAAUAGCAAUGCCUCCCACCAUCACCCACUCUUCCAUGGCCAGUCAUUCAUUGUAGUUAAUGCUGGAAUGCAAACUGACAUGUAAUUGCACCAAUGAAUUAUAAUGAUGUGUGGUAAAAAUUUGAUCCCACGUUGUAUUUCAUCUUUGUACAUUGUAUUCUGUAUGUAUCAAUGUCAACACAUGCAAUUAAAGCAUCCAUCAAAUUACUUGAUGAUGGCAGCUGAUG